GGUCAUUCUCCCCCCCCCCCCCCAGACUGUAAAACCCAGAAAACUCCUCCUAAUUUUCAAAAGACAACGAGAAAAACGACAAUCUUAAGACACCAACACCCUCCUUUGUGCUUCUCUGGGCCCGCUUCGGGUCUCACUUUCUGUUCUCGUGCUCAUUGUACUGUUGACGGUUACAAUCGUGGGUAAUUUUUUUAAGUUGGGAUCCUUGGAUUUUUUUUUUCCUUUGAGUUUGGGGGGGAAAAAAAAAUCCAUUUUUUAAAAAGGGGUGUUGCAAAAAAAAAAAAGGAAAAAAAACCAACCCCCCCCCAAAAAAACAUUGCACGAUUUCAAUGACAAUAGUUAAAAUGCUGCAGUUUUUAGAGAUGUGGAAGCAAAAAUGGAGCUUAUUUAUUCUCAAAGGUUAUAAAAGGUGUAAAAUGCAUGAAGAAACAAACAAAACGACAAAAAAACUUUACAAAAAAAAACCAAAAAAGCCAAAAAAAGCAAAAAAAGCGUAACCUGAACAAAGUGGAACGUGCGAAUUUGGGAAGGAUGGCGAGAAAAGACGGGAAAAACAAGAAAAAAGACAAAAAAAAGCUAAUAUAUUGUGUUUGGGCUAGUUUGCUUUUGUUUUUAAUUGUUCCUUUUUUUGGAGAAUGAAAGACAAUUGUGUAUAUUUUCAUAUUAAGAAGUAUGCACUGAUAAUGUUUCCAAAAUGAUAUAUUCCUUUCUAAAAGUGUGGUUACUUAACCAAAGUCUUUGUUUCUGAUCUUUUACCUUCUUGACAUCUCUUGUGGAUCCCUCCCCACCGCGCGCGACCGGGGCUCGACGCCGCGGGCCGUAGGCAGAGGAUGCUGCACAAGUAGAGAUGAACCAGGACAGGACGUACACUUCCCCUGAGGAGUUUAUUUAUUGUUUUGAGAAGCAAUUGAAAAGGGAAGAAAAAAGGACAAAAAAAGGAUGAACUGUGUAUCUAUAAUAUAUAUAUCUCUAUAUUUUUGAACCUCUUUUGUUUUCCCGAUGCUCCUCCCCAUGUGUGUGUGUGCGUGCGUGUGUGAGGCAAGGGGUUCUGCGCCCGCGGGUGGCAGAUUGGGAUGCUCAUGGGAUGCUCAUGGGAUGGGCAUGCUCGUCCAUGCAGUAUGGAUCAGGAGGCACCCUGGUGUGUGCAUGGAGAAGGGGACCAGGCUGUCCCCUGCUCCAUGCUUUGGGUGGGAUGCUGCCAAGCAGCAGCAUUGCAAGGGAGGAUAUAUGGAGUUUGGGACUGGGAUCUUUGCCUAAUUCCAUCUUUCUCUUGAGUAUUUGCUGGCCUGGCUGAGAGCCUCCCGAGUCUUGGGGACACCAUCACCCCCAUCCCUGUCCCUUCCCAUCCCUGCUUCCGACCUGCACCCUUGACAAUCAGUGGCUCCUUCCCAGGGACUGCAGCCCGUGGUUGAGGCGUCCAGUUUGGUUUUCCAAUAUCCCUCUUUUUUUUGUGCUGUAUGGUGAUGCGUUAUUGUAUAUUCCACACUAAGACAAAACAAAGGAAAAAAAUAACAAAAAGGAAAAAAAAGAAAAAUAUAUUAAAAAAAAGAUGAUGAUGAUGAUGAUAAUAAUAAUAAUUACCAUGAAAAAUACUUACGAGUUUUGUUUGGAAACUCUUUCACUAUAUUUGUUGUAAAGAGGUUUACUAUUAAAAAAGAAAAGAAAAUACACGUUUCUGAUAAUU